UACGUAGGGAGCAAGCGUUUGUUCGGAUUUACUGGGCGUAAAGGGCGCGUAGGCGGCAAAUUAAGUCAGCUGUGAAAUCUCCGAGCUUAACUCGGAACGGUCAGCUGAUACUGAUCUGCUAGAGUGCGGAAGGGGCAAUCGGAAUUCUUGGUGUAGCGGUGAAAUGCGCAGAUAUCAAGAGGAACACCUGAGGUGAAGACGGGUUGCUGGGCCGACACUGACGCUGAGGCACGAAAGCGUGGGGAGCAAACAGG
rnacentral:rRNA from 1 species